AGGACGAACGCUGGCGGCACGCCUAACACAUGCAAGUCGAACGAAGCUAAUAGAGCUUGCUUUAUUAGCUUAGUGGCGGACGGGUGAGUAACACGUGAGCAACCUGCCUUAAAGAGGGGGACAACAGUUGGAAACGACUGCUAAUACCGCAUAAAGUUAUUUUAGGACAUCCUUAAAUAACCAAAGGAGCAAUCCGCUUUAAGAUGGGCUCGCGUCUGAUUAGCUAGUUGGUGAGGUAACGGCCCGCCAAGGCGACGAUCAGUAGCCGGACUGAGAGGUUGAUCGGCCACAUUGGGACUGAGACACGGCCCAGACUCCUACGGGAGGCAGCAGUGGGGGAUAUUGGUCAAUGGGGGGAAACCCUGAACCAGCGAUGCCGCGUGAGGGAAGAAGGUUUUCGGAUUGUAAACCUCUGUCAUCGGGGAAGAUAAUGACGGUACCCGAGAAGGAAGCCACGGCUAACUACGUGCCAGCCGCAGC
rnacentral:rRNA from 1 species